AUCACAGAAUCCCAGAAUGGUUUGGGUUGAAGGAACCUUUAAGCUCAUCUUAUCCCACCCCCUGCCAUGGGCAGGGACACUUUCC